UACAUAGGGACCAAGCGUUGUUCGGAUUUACUGGGCGUAAAGGGCGCGUAGGCGGCUUAACAAGUCACUUGUGAAAUCUCCGGGCUUAACUCGGAACGGCCAAGUGAAACUGUCAAGCUAGAGUGCAGAAGGGGCAAUCGGAAUUCUUGGUGUAGCGGUGAAAUGCGUAGAUAUCAAGAGGAACACCUGAGGUGAAGACGGGUUGCUGGGCUGACACUGACGCUGAGGCGCGAAAGCCAGGGGAGCAAACGGG
rnacentral:rRNA from 1 species